AUCCUGGCUCAGAUUGAACGCGUGGCGGCAGGCCUAACACAUGCAAGUCGAGCGGUAGAGAGGUGCUUGCAUCUCUUGAGAGCGGCGGACGGGUGAGUAAUGCCUAGGAAUCUGCCUAGUGGUGGGGGAUAACGUUCGGAAACGGACGCUAAUACCGCAUACGUCCUACGGGAGAAAGCGGGGGAUCUUCGGACCUCGCGCCAUUAGAUGAGCCUAGGUCGGAUUAGCUAGUUGGUGAGGUAAUGGCUCACCAAGGCGACGAUCCGUAACUGGUCUGAGAGGAUGAUCAGUCACACUGGAACUGAGACACGGUCCAGACUCCUACGGGAGGCAGCAGUGGGGAAUAUUGGACAAUGGGCGAAAGCCUGAUCCAGCCAUGCCGCGUGUGUGAAGAAGGUCUUCGGAUUGUAAAGCACUUUAAGUUGGGAGGAAGGGUAGUAACCUAAUACGUUGCUACUUUGACGUUACCGACAGAAUAAGCACCGGCUAACUUCGUG
rnacentral:rRNA from 1 species